rnacentral:rRNA from 1 species
GAUGAACGCUGGCGGCGUGCCUAAUACAUGCAAGUCGAGCGAACAGAUAAGGAGCUUGCUCCUUUGACGUUAGCGGCGGACGGGUGAGUUACACGUGGAUAACCUACCUAUAAGACUGGGAUAACUUCGGGAAACCGGAGCUAAUACCGGAUAACAUAUUGAACCGCAUGGUUCAAUAGUGAAAGGCGGCUUUGCUGUCACUUAUAGAUGGAUCCGCGCCGUAUUAGCUAGUUGGUAAGUUAACGGCUUACCAAGGCAACGAUACGUAGCCGACCUGAGAGGGUGAUCGGCCACACUGGAACUGAGACACGGUCCAGACUCCUACGGGAGGCAGCAGUAGGGAAUCUUCCGCAAUGGGCGAAAGCCUGACGGAGCAACGCCGCGUGAGUGAUGAAGGUCUUCGGAUCGUAAAACUCUGUUAUCAGGGAAGAACAAAUGUGUAAGUAACUGUGCACAUCUUGACGGUACCUGAUCAGAAAGCCACGGCUAACUACGUG